ACUGCUCAGUAACACGUGGCUAACCUACCCUCAGGACGGGGACAAACCCGGGAAACUGGGGCUAAUAUCCGAUAGGCGAGGAAUCCUGGAAUGGUUCUUCACCCAAAGGACAUUGGAAACAUGCUUUCUCUGUCGCCUGGGGAUGGGGCCGCGUCCGAUCAGGUUGUUGGUGAGGUAAUGGCUCACCAAGCCUUUAACCGGUACGGGCCAUGAGAGUGGUAGCCCGGAGAUGGGUACUGAGACAAGGACCCAGGCCCUACGGGGCGCAGCAGUCGCGAAAACUCCGCAAUGCACGAAAGUGUGACGGGGCUACCCCGAGUGCCGUCCGCUGAGGAUGGCUUUUCCUUGGUGUAACUAGCCGGGGGAAUAAGGAGAGGGCAAGACUGGUGUCAGCCGCCGCGGUAAUACCAGCUCUCCGAGUGGUAGGGAUGAUUAUUGGGCUUAAAGCGUCCGUAGCCGGCUUAGCAAGUUUCCUGUUAAAUUCAGCGACCUAAUCGUUGAGCCGCGGGAAAUACUACUAGGCUAGGAGGCGGGAGAGGUCGACGGUACUUCUGGGGUAGGGGUGAAAUCCUAUAAUCCCGGGAGGACCACCAGUGGCGAAGGCUGUCGACUAGAACGCGCUCGACGGUGAGGGACGAAAGCUGGGGGAGCGAACCGGAUUAGAUACCCGGGUAGUCCCAGCUGUAAACGAUGCGGGCUAGGUGUUGGGGUGGCUACGUGCCACUUCAGUGCCGCAGGGAAGCCAUUAAGCCCGCCGCCUGGGGAGUACGGCCGCAAGGCUGAAACUUAAAGGAAUUGGCGGGGGAGCACCACAAGGCGUGAAGCUUGCGGUUCAAUUGGAGUCAACGCCGGG
rnacentral:rRNA from 1 species